rnacentral:rRNA from 1 species
UACGUAGGAUGCGAGCGUUGUCCGGAAUUAUUGGGCGUAAAGAGAACGUAGGCGGUUUGUUAAGUUUGGGCUUAAAGACUGGGGCUCAACCCCAGGAGUGGCUCGAAAACUGACAGACUAGAGGAUGGCAGAGGAAAGUGGAAUUCCCAGUGUAGCGGUGAAAUGCGUAGAUAUUGGGAGGAACACCAGUGGCGAAAGCGACUUUCUGGGCCGGUACUGACGCUGAGGAGCGAAAGCGUGGGGAGCAAACAGGG